rnacentral:rRNA from 1 species
UAAUACAUGCAAGUCGAGCGGACAGAUGGGAGCUUGCUCCCUGAUGUUAGCGGCGGACGGGUGAGUAACACGUGGGUAACCUGCCUGUAAGACUGGGAUAACUCCGGGAAACCGGGGCUAAUACCGGAUGGUUGUUUGAACCGCAUGGUUCAAACAUAAAAGGUGGCUUCGGCUACCACUUACAGAUGGACCCGCGGCGCAUUAGCUAGUUGGUGAGGUAACGGCUCACCAAGGCAACGAUGCGUAGCCGACCUGAGAGGGUGAUCGGCCACACUGGGACUGAGACACGGCCCAGACUCCUACGGGAGGCAGCAGUAGGGAAUCUUCCGCAAUGGACGAAAGUCUGACGGAGCAACGCCGCGUGAGUGAUGAAGGUUUUCGGAUCGUAAAGCUCUGUUGUUAGGGAAGAACAAGUACCGUUCGAAUAGGGCGGUACCUUGACGGUACCUAACCAGAAAGCCACGGCUAACUACGUGCCAGCAGCCGCGGUAAUACGUAGGUGGCAAGCGUUGUCCGGAAUUAUUGGGCGUAAAGGGCUCGCAGGCGGUUUCUUAAGUCUGAUGUGAAAGCCCCCGGCUCAACCGGGGAGGGUCAUUGGAAACUGGGGAACUUGAGUGCAGAAGAGGAGAGUGGAAUUCCACGUGUAGCGGUGAAAUGCGUAGAGAUGUGGAGGAACACCAGUGGCGAAGGCGACUCUCUGGUCUGUAACUGACGCUGAGGAGCGAAAAGCGUGGGGAGCGAACAGGAUUAGAUACCCUGGUAGUCCA